UACUGGAAACGGUAGCUAAUACCGCAUAACGUCGCAAGACCAAAGAGGGGGACCUUCGGGCCUCUUGCCAUCAGAUGUGCCCAGAUGGGAUUAGCUAGUAGGUGGGGUAACGGCUCACCUAGGCGACGAUCCCUAGCUGGUCUGAGAGGAUGACCAGCCACACUGGAACUGAGACACGGUCCAGACUCCUACGGGAGGCAGCAGUGGGGAAUAUUGCACAAUGGGCGCAAGCCUGAUGCAGCCAUGCCGCGUGUAUGAAGAAGGCCUUCGGGUUGUAAAGUACUUUCAGCGGGGAGGAAGGUGUUGUGGUUAAUAACCACAGCAAUUGACGUUACCCGCAGAAGAAGCACCGGCUAACUCCGUGCCAGCAGCCGCGGUAAUACGGAGGGUGCAAGCGUUAAUCGGAAUUACUGGGCGUAAAGCGCACGCAGGCGGUCUGUCAAGUCGGAUGUGAAAUCCCCGGGCUCAACCUGGGAACUGCAUUCGAAACUGGCAGGCUAGAGUCUUGUAGAGGG
rnacentral:rRNA from 1 species